UCAGGAUGACCCUCCAAGAGCGCUGCCUCUCUACUUAAUACUUCACCUCUCCGCCGAGUCGCCAUUGUUACCUUCAAUGACGAGGUAGUAGUGUAUGGUGAUGGUUCAGGUGUACCCGUCUCUCUGAGGGACUGGGCUCUAGUUGAUUAUGACUAUCUGAGACAACGGGGUCAACAGUACAACACUCCACACUGUAUAGCUGAGAGCUACCAACACCUCUCACUGAGAGUCAAAGAGUUCCGAGAACACGGGGCUACAGCGUUGGGUCCUGCAGCCUUGGUCUCCGUUGCCAUGGCGUCUCGAUUCGUGGGGUCAAAGGUGAUCUUGUGUACAGACGGGCGAGCUAACAUCGGAUUGGGUGAGAUGGAGGAGAGUCCCGCCCCUUUCUCCUCCCCCCAGUCACCUUACUUCUACAGACAGCUAGCCAACGAGGCAGCUAACAAAGGGUUAGUGUACGCCCUAACUA